AUUGAACGCUGGCGGCAGGCCUAACACAUGCAAGUCGAGCGGCAGCGGGAAAGUAGCUUGCUACUUUUGCCGGCGAGCGGCGGACGGGUGAGUAAUGCCUGGGAAAUUGCCCAGUCGAGGGGGAUAACAGUUGGAAACGACUGCUAAUACCGCAUACGCCCUACGGGGGAAAGCAGGGGACCUUCGGGCCUUGCGCGAUUGGAUAUGCCCAGGUGGGAUUAGCUAGUUGGUGAGGUAAUGGCUCACCAAGGCGACGAUCCCUAGCUGGUCUGGGAGGAUGAUCAGCCAAACUGGAACUGAGACACGGUCCAGACUCCUACGGGAGGCAGCAGUGGGGAAUAUUGCACAAUGGGGGAAACCCUGAUGCAGCCAUGCCGCGUGUGUGAAGAAGGCCUUCGGGUUGUAAAGCACUUUCAGCGAGGAGGAAAGGUUGAUGCCUAAUACGUAUCAACUGUGACGUUACUCGCAGAAGAAGCACCGGCUAACUCCGUGCCAGCAGCCGCCGUAA
rnacentral:rRNA from 1 species